GAUUGAACGCUGGCGGCAGGCCUAACACAUGCAAGUCGAGCGGUAGCACAGAGAGCUUGCUCUCGGGUGACGAGCGGCGGACGGGUGAGUAAUGUCUGGGAAACUGCCUGAUGGAGGGGGAUAACUACUGGAAACGGUAGCUAAUACCGCAUAAYGUCGCAAGACCAAAGUGGGGGACCUUCGGGCCUCAUGCCAUAAGAUGUGCCCAGAUGGGAUUAGCUAGUAGGUGGGGUAACGGCUCACCUAGGCGACGAUCCCUAGCUGGUCUGAGAGGAUGACCAGCCACACUGGAACUGAGACACGGUCCAGACUCCUACGGGAGGCAGCAGUGGGGAAUAUUGCACAAUGGGCGCAAGCCUGAUGCAGCCAUGCCGCGUGUGUGAAGAAGGCCUUCGGGUUGUAAAGCACUUUCAGCGGGGAGGAAGGCGGUGAGGUUAAUAACCUCAUCGAUUGACGUUACCCGCAGAAGAAGCACCGGCUAACUCC
rnacentral:rRNA from 1 species